UUGAAACACCGGUUCCCGUACGAUCAGCGAAGUUAAGCAAUGUCAAGCCUGGUCAGUACCAUGAUGGGUGAUCACUUGAGAAUAUCGGGUGUUGUAA